AGUGAACGCUGGCGGCAGGCCUAAUACAUGCAAGUCGAACGGCAGCACGGCAGAGCUUGCUCUGUGGGUGGCGAGUGGCGGACGGGUGAGGAAUACAUGGGAAUCUGCCCAGUCGUGGGGGAUAACGUAGGGAAACUUACGCUAAUACCGCAUGCGCCCUUCGGGGGAAAGCCGGGGACCUUCGGGCCUGGCGCGAUUGGAUGAGCCCAUGUCGGAUUAGCUAGUUGGCGGGGUAAUGGCCCACCAAGGCGACGAUCCGUAGCUGGUCUGAGAGGAUGAUCAGCCACACUGGAACUGAGACACGGUCCAGACUCCUACGGGAGGCAGCAGUAGGGAAUAUUGGACAAUGGGCGCAAGCCUGAUCCAGCCAUGCCGCGUGAGUGAAGAAGGCCCUCGGGUUGUAAAGCUCUUUUGUCCGGAAAGAAAAGCGCCGGGUUAAUACCCUGGUGUCCUGACGGUACCGGAAGAAUAAGCACCGGCUAACUUCGUGCCAGCAGCCGC
rnacentral:rRNA from 1 species